rnacentral:lncRNA from 1 species
AUCACAAUCUCAAAUCUACAAUAUUUCUCUACAAAAAUGAAAACUUUCCAAAAAUAGCAGUUCUUGGAAAUUUUAUUUAUAAAAUAUAACAUAUUGAUCAAAAAUUCUAAAAGCAUACCUAUAUAUCAACAAAAACUCUUGUUAUCCUAAUUUCUAAAUCACAAUCUCAAAUCUAUCGUAUUUCUUUACAAAAAUGAUAACUUUCCAAAAAUAACUGGUUUUAGAAAAUUUAUUUAAAAAUUAAAACCUAUAGGUAAAAAAUUCUAAAAGCAUACCCAUCUAUCAACAAAAACGCUUGCUAUCCUAAUUUCUAAAUCACAAUCCCAAAUCUACAAUAUUUCUCAACGAAAAUCAUGAUAACAAGAGCAUACCCAUCUAUCAACCAAAAACACUUGUUAUCAUGAUUCCUAAAUCACAAUCUCAAAUCUAUAGUAUUUCUUUACAAAAAUGAUAACUUUCUAAAAAUAGCAUUUCUUAGACAUUUUAUUUAUAAAAUAUAACCUAUUGAUCAAAAUUCUAAAAGCGUACCCAUAUAUAAAAAAAAAACUUGUUAUCCAGAUUUCUAAAUCACAAUCCCAAAUCUACAAUAUUUAUCUACAAAAUGAUAACUUUCCAAAUAUAGCAGUUUUUAAAAUUUUAUUUUAAAAAUAUAAAAAAUUGAUCAAAAAUUCUAAUGGCAUGCCCAUCUAUCGACAAAAAACUUUUGUUAUCCUAAUUUCUAAAUCACAA